UAAAAAAAAAAAAAGACAUUUAUUCAGUAUCAUGAUCAGAUUAUUAAAACAUUUAGCAAUCAACAGCAUGGGUACAAAACAAAACAAUCUACACUGAAACCCUGUGUUGGAAUGCUUUACUUUCCACAGAACAGAAACUAUUAUACAAUUAGUCACAAAUACAGUCAUCAAGUUCUGUGAUCGUGGUGGCUUUGGUGGCAGCCAUGGUGGUGGUGAUGGAUAUGGUGGCAGUGGGGAUUGCUAUAAUAGAUUUGGUAAUGAUUGAAGCAAUUUUGGAGGUGGUAAAAGCUACAAUGAUUUUGGCAAUGACAACAAUCAGUCUUCAAAUUUUGGACCCAUGAAGGGAGGAAACUUUGGAGGCAGAAGCUCUGGGCCCUAUGGUGGUAGAGGCCAAUACUUUGCCAAACCACGAUACCAAGGUGGCUAAGGCAGUUCCAGUAGCAGUAGUGGUUAAGGCAGU
ensembl:lncRNA novel transcript